rnacentral:rRNA from 1 species
UACGAAGGGUGCAAGCGUUAAUCGGAAUUACUGGGCGUAAAGCGCGCGUAGGCGGCUUGUUAAGUCAAAUGUGAAAUCCCCGAGCUUAACUUGGGCAUUGCAUUCGAUACUGGCAAGCUAGAGUAUGGGAGAGGAAGGUAGAAUUCCAGGUGUAGCGGUGAAAUGCGUAGAGAUCUGGAGGAAUACCGAUGGCGAAGGCAGCCUUCUGGCCUAAUACUGACGCUGAGGUGCGAAAGCAUGGGGAGCAAACAGG